AGCGAGCGCUGGCGGCAGGCCUAACACAUGCAAGUCGAACGAACUCUUCGGAGUUGGUGGCGGACGGGGGGGUAACAGGUGGGAACGUGCCUAUGGGUUUGGAAGAACUCAGGGAAACUUGUGCGAAUACCGGAGGUGCUCUUCGGGGGAAAGAUUUAUCGCCAUUAGAGCGGCCCGCGUCUGAUUAGCUAGUUGGGGAGGUAACGGCUCACCAAGGCGACGAUCAGUAGCUGGUCUGAGAGGAUGACCAGCCGCACUGGGACUGAGACACGGCCCAGACUCCUACGGGAGGGAGCAGUGGGGAAUCUUGCGCAAUGGGCGAAAGCCUGACGCAGCCCUGCCGGGUGAAUGCUGAAGGUCUUAGGAUUGUAAAAUUCUUUCACCGGGGACGAUAAUGACGGUACCCGGAGAAGAAGCCCCGGCUAACUUCGUG
rnacentral:rRNA from 1 species